AACGAACGCCGGCGGCAGGCCUAACACAUGCAAGUCGAGCGAAGCCUUCGGGCUUAGCGGCGGACGGGUGAGUAACGCGUGGGAACGUGCCCUUUGGUACGGAAUAGCCCCGGGAAACUGGGAGUAAUACCGUAUGUGGUCGAGAGACGAAAGAUUUAUCGCCAAAGGAUCGGCCCGCGUUGGAUUAGGUAGUUGGUGGGGUAACGGCCUACCAAGCCGACGAUCCAUAGCUGGUUUGAGAGGAUGAUCAGCCACACUGGGACUGAGACACGGCCCAGACUCCUACGGGAGGCAGCAGUGGGGAAUCUUAGACAAUGGGGGAAACCCUGAUCUAGCCAUGCCGCGUGAUCGAUGAAGGCCUUAGGGUUGUAAAGAUCUUUCAGUGGGGAAGAUAAUGACUGUACCCACAGAAGAAGCCCCGGCUAACUCCGUGCCAGCCGCCGCAGUAACAC
rnacentral:rRNA from 1 species